rnacentral:rRNA from 1 species
AGAGUUUGAUCCUGGCUCAGAACGAACGCUGGCGGCAUGCCUAACACAUGCAAGUCGAACGAGACCUUCGGGUCUAGUGGCGCACGGGUGCGUAACGCGUGGGAACCUGCCUUAGGUUCGGAAUAACUCAGAGAAAUUUGAGCUAAUACCGGAUAAUGUCUUCGGACCUAAAGAUUUAUCGCCUUUAGAUGGGCCCGCGUUGGAUUAGCUAGUUGGUGGGGUAAAGGCCUACCAAGGCGACGAUCCAUAGCUGGUCUGAGAGGAUGAUCAGCCACACUGGGACUGAGACACGGCCCAGACUCCUACGGGAGGCAGCAGUGGGGAAUAUUGGACAAUGGGCGAAAGCCUGAUCCAGCAAUGCCGCGUGAGUGAUGAAGGCCUUAGGGUUGUAAAGCUCUUUUACCCGAGAUGAUAAUGACAGUAUCGGGAGAAUAAGCUCCGGCUAACUCCGUG